rnacentral:lncRNA from 10 species
GCGAGGAUUAGAUCCAAGACAUGGUUCAAUUUCUGGCUCGAUUCUCUGACCGGGCUGACUUAUUUCUAGGUUUCUUUCAAGGGGAAACUCCUGAGUAGCUCUGGAAUAAGAGCCAGAGAUCCCCAUAAGGCUGCCCUGGUUUUUGUUUUGUUUUGUUUUUUGUUUUUGCCACUUGCCCCAGAAAGACCUACCCAUGCUUCUUUGAAUUUGGUUUUCCUUUAAACUCCCUCACAAUCCCUGUCUUAAAGUUCCUAGAAGAGAAAACUUUUCUCAGAGACCGUCUCCUUAGGAAAAAUCAACAGGGAUAUUGUUUAAAACCUCAAACUGAAGAUAAAAGGCUGGCAGUGACCAUUGAAAUAAUUGAGGUCUAUGUAUCAUGCAUUGAGGAAGAACCAAGCACAUUGACCAGCUAAUAGGACUUCACUGAAUGUCCACUUUAUUUUGAAAGCCAGUUUGGGAUUGUGGGGGAGGGGAUGCAAAAUAAAUAGAAAAUAUAGUCUCUUCCCAUAAGUAGCUUAUGGUUUAGAAGUUCAGUUCUCUAAUACAAAGGAUAACCAAGGACCCAUGCAAUGCAAACAGAGACUAAACAGCAAAAAUUAGAAAUGACAACUAAAGUUGUAGCCAGGAAAAAAAAAAUAAUCUGAUUCUAUGAGCAUACCUUUUUUAAAAAAAAAAAAAAAGUCCUUCCCUAAACCUUUAAGUAACUCCGGAGAAUAGAGUUAGUGGUCCCGGAAAUGCAGUUGAUUUAUUUUAAUCUUCAAAUAAUGGACUUAGGAGACCCAGGAGCUGCUAACCAGGUGAACACACUCACACUCCUACAUUUUUGCACAGGAAGGCUUUUGUCUGGUUCCAACCAGUUCUCCAGUCCUUGCCAAAUCAUGCCUCCUCCCAGCCUUGCAUUAUGACAUGUGCCUCAAGAAAAGGUUGAAAAAAUUCCCCAAAGGAUUAGAAAAUAGACCAUGAUGUAAAAAGACGAAGCAUUUCCCUAAAGCUUUUUUGUUUGGUUUUGUUUUUGACAUUUGAAGAACCCUUCUGAUACACCAGGGUAUGAAUGUAUCAGGGAAGCAUAGAGGGAAAAUUCUUUAUCAAGUUCCAAGUGCCUACUGCUGUGGCUGACAGAAAGCAUCAGGUUCCCUAGAGAGAAAACGGGGCAAAGAGAUGGCAAAAGGAAUAGAGGUGUAUUUCAGGAAGGAUGGCGAGGUGGAGAGGGAGCUUUUGUCACUCUGUCUAUCCCAUUCUGUGCAUUCUUGGAAUGUUACAUUUUCUGCUUAUCGCAAGUACUUGCCAUGGAUCUGCACCUGAAUUUGAAAAUAUCAAAAUAUAUCUAAAUUGAGUGUAGGCGAUAUUCUAGGCAUAUCCUAGAAUGUGAUCCUCAAAACAACCUUAAGAUAUAAAUAUGAUUGCUCCCAUUUUACAGAUAAGGAAACUGAGGCUCAGGUUUUUCUCAACCUCGUCAGCAACUAGAAUUAGCUAGUAAAUCCCUAACGUUAGACAUAUUUUCAAAGUGCCUGGUCUCCUCCAGGGAGGUCAGAAUAGAAGUCAGAAAGAGAGGUGUGCUCUUUUGAGGUUCCUGGGCAUAUACCCUUGAGUAUCAGCCUCUGUGACAGGGAAGUCUGUUAGGGUCUUACCCCUCAUUGCCUGAUCUGUGUGUAUGGAGAACUUCUGGGGAUCUCACCUCUGUUCAUAGUUCCUUCUGAGACUUGAACACUGUUUGUGUCUCCCUUUCAUAUGCUUGCACUUAGCAUUUAAAAAAAUUUCUGGGGAGUUAUUUUCUCUACUUAGCAUGUGCCUAAUCUUAAAUAUCUCUUUCCUAAUGUCUCAUCUUUUUAUCAGUCAACAUCAGGGCUAAUUCCAUUAAACAUAUAUACAUAGUACAUGCUCUCAUGUGUGUGGGUAUGCACACACACACACACAGCCAUGUGACCCUCCAUUAAAGUCCUCCUAAAUAUUGUGACCCAUGUUCAAAGAGGUGAUAUUAUUUGCAAGUUGACUAUUCCUCCUAUUUCAUGUCUAUGUUUGGUUAUCUUUGCCAGGCAGAUGGAAUGAGUUUCAGAGGUGGGACAGGGAAUAGGAAAUAGAGUUUCUGCAUGAAUGAUGGAGAGCUUUGGUAGUCAGAAUGAUUGAGGACCAGCUAUUAAAAUGUUGUUGUUGUUUUCCUUCUUGGUCUGUUCCUUUUUUUUUUUCUUUUCCAAAUUGUCUUAGAGAUAAUUCCCGGCUCACUUAGCAUUAGGAUAAUGACGGUUAUUCUGUCCCACUGAAGAGUGUUGAACUGGAACGCUUCCACCGGGCUUUAUAGGUACCCAGAAUGGCCUAAUGUUUAACAUAUCCUGCAGGCAUGCCCCUGAGCACACACUGCCUUUCCUGCAUUCCCCCCUCUCCAUGGUCUAAGCCACAUUUCUUUCCUGGCAUUUAUAUUUACUGAGAGGUGAGGGGUGCAUUAGGCCCAUUUGAUGGAUGAGGACACUAGCGGGGAUUUGAAGGAAUGUCUUUCUGGGAGUCUCCAUGAAUUCUCUGGAGAGUUAGCUAACUUAAUGCAAGUUAAGUGCUAGUCUAUGAGAAAAAUUUCUCAGCUGUUUUCAUCUUUCAAGCUGGCAGUAAAAAGCCUUUUAAGACAGAAAGAUUAUUAUUUGUUAUUUGGAGAUCCUGUUGUUGGGUCUACAAGUGCGUGACCAUGUUCUCCUUGGAAUGUUGAGCUAUGCAGAAAUGGAGCACUCCAAAGAACGAUUUGACCAAUAGCAUUUCUUCUCUGGGGGUUGUAUUUCAAAGCAUGCAACUCUCCAGGGAACCAGAACUAAAUUGCUUAAAAUGAAGUCAUUCCUCAGAUUAACUUCCUCAGAUAAAGUGUCAGCGGUCUGCAGAAACGAAGAAGACAAAACUGAGAUUAUCACUCAUAAUUCUCUUACUUACUAUGUCAGUGAAACAAUGAGUUUGCAUUUUUGCAAUCCUAGAACAUUCUUCAUUAGCCCUGGGUCAUGACCUCUUCCAGUUAAUUCUCUUUCACACCUUUAGGAAAGAUUUAAGAUGAACCUUCAAUAGGAUAUUAACAUAACUCAUAGCCAAUACCACAGCUGCCUUUCAAAUUAAUGAGGUUAAUUGUUCUCCAGCAAACAUGAGUUUGUCUUUGGCAUUUUAAAUGCUUCCCAUUGAUCUGACAUUUUGCUGUUUCAAGUUUUAAAGGGCUCAAAUCAAAGACUAUUGAUAACUGAGCAAAGAGCGAAGAUCCAGAAAUACGAAAACAUUGUCUUUUUUUUUCCAUGAAAAACAAUCAUAGCCUUUUGAAUUCAAUCGAAGUUUCUACAUUAGCCAUCUAAGACUUAUUUAAUUAUUUCUGUUCUCAGUCAAGCUAAUUCAAGUGAAUGAACAGUAUUGACUUUUAAAAUCUUUUUUAAAUUUUUUUAAAUCUUUAGUUUAUUAAGUUUGUAGAAAAGCUCUGGGGCCAUGACCACUUACGUAAAUGUUUCAGUUUAAAAACAAAAGAUUCAGGCCUCUAAUUUGAGCCAAAUCCAGGUGAUCUUGUUUGAAAUUUUUGAUGAAUUUGAAAAGAUGAAAGUGGAACUUUUAACAUUCAUGUUCCCCAAAUUUUUCACUGGGAAGGGAUGCUAAUUGCCUACUUAAGAUAUAAGUUCAAGAAUAACAUUUUCAUAGAAAAUUCAGAAAACUGCUUGACACAGCAGUGACAUAGUUAGAUGUGGCUCAGAUGCCUUCCAAACCUGAGGGUCCCCAAAGAUUUCUUUACCAGUUGUUUUUAACUAUGAAUCUUAAUCUUGUUCAUUCCCCUGCCAAAACAAAUUUAAAAGCAUAAACCUGCUGAAUUAAUUGGCAGAAUUCACCAUAGUUUAUAUCACCCCAGAAUGUUUAUGUGUAUAUGUUUAUGUAUAGUAUAUAUAUUUCAAGCUGAAUGUUCAGAAAGAAUAAGGUGAGUUUCUUGGUAGCUUGAAUAAGAAUUAGAUCAUAAAAAUUAUAAAUAAUGGCCUUCUCAAAGAGGAUAAAUGAUUCAUUUUUCACUCACGUAUUAAUAAUAUGACUUGUUGCAUAAUACACAAGCUGGUCAUUGCCUGCAAGAAAGUUAUUGAAUUAAGCAGCUAUCCAGGUUUAUGUCUGAGUCCAUUUUUAACCCAACAAGGCUAGGAUUGAACUCCAUAUGCAGAGGGUUUCUAUUCACAGCUACAUUCAAACAGAAUCCAAAACCCACAUCAGAACUGACUUGAUGUCUUGUAUGGUGGAGCUGAAAGCAAGCUGUCUGCUCUAAGCAAUGGUCUUCAUUUGGGAAUUAAUGUUCACUGAUCAACUGCAGCAGUUUAUAUCUGUCAUGUUUUAAUCCACUGCAUGAGGAAGUGCUAAUAAGUGUAUUAAAUAUUUCCAAGCAUAGCUACAAAAUUAUAUGUUUGCUUAACACCUUUCUAUGAUAGAGGAAGUAUAUACUAUGGUUGUCUUCUUGUAGUAUGUCUUUUAAUUUUGUUCAAUGUGUUAUCAACUGUUUUAAGGAAUGGGGAUUGAAAUUCGUGUGCAAACUGAUAUGUAUAUAACUCCUGAGGCAACAGAAGUGCCCGGUCAUAUGGUGUAAAAAUGUAAAUACAGGAAAAUUUCAUUUUUCUAAUAAAGAUAAUUUCUGCCAAUUGAUAUG